rnacentral:rRNA from 1 species
CAGUCGCCGCGGUAAUACGUAGGUGGCAAGCGUUGUCCGGAAUUAUUGGGCGUAAAGGGCUCGCAGGCGGUUUCUUAAGUCUGAUGUGAAAGCCCCCGGCUCAACCGGGGAGGGUCAUUGGAAACUGGGAAACUUGAGUGCAGAAGAGGAGAGUGGAAUUCCACGUGUAGCGGCGAAAUGCGUAGAGAUGUGGAGGAACACCAGUGGCGAAGGCGACUCUCUGGUCUGUAACUGACGCUGAGGAGCGAAAGCGUGGGGAGCGAACAGGAUUAGAUACCCCUGUAGUCCCUGUCUCUUAUAC